rnacentral:rRNA from 1 species
CCUACGGGGGGCUGCAGUGGGGAAUAUUGCACAAUGGGGGAAACCCUGAUGCAGCGACGCCGCGUGAGUGAAGAAGUAAUUCGUUAUGUAAAGCUCUAUCAGCUGGGAAGAAAAUGACGGUACCUGAGUAAGAAGCCCCGGCUAACUACGUGCCAGCAGCCGCGGUAAUACGUAGGGGGCAAGCGUUAUCCGGAUUUACUGGGUGUAAAGGGAGCGUAGACGGCAGUGCAAGUCUGGAGUGAAAGGCGAGGGCUCAACCCACGGACUGCUCUGGAAACUGUACAGCUGGAGUGCGGGAGAGGUAAGUGGAAUUCCUAGUGUAGCGGUGAAAUGCGUAGAUAUUAGGAGGAACACCAGUGGCGAAGGCGGCUUACUGGACUGUAACUGACGUUGAGGCUCGAAAGCGUGGGGAGCAAACAGGAUUAGAUACCCCAGUAGUC